rnacentral:misc_RNA from 1 species
UGGUUCUGGCAUCGAUGAAGAACGCAGCGAAAUGCGAUAAGUAAUGUGAAUUGCAGAAUUCAGUGAAUCAUCGAAUCUUUGAACGCACAUUGCGCCCUCUGGUAUUCCGGGGGGCAUGCCUGUUCGAGCGUCAUUACAACCCUCAAGCUCUGCUUGGUAUUAGGGCCCACCUGCUAGCAGGUGGCCUGUAAAAUCAGUGGCGGUGCCAUUCGGCUUCUAGCGUAGUAAUUUUUUCUCGCUUUGGAGUAUCGAUUGUGUGCCUGCCAGCAACCCCAAUUUAUCAAAGGUUGACCUCGGAUCAGGUAGGGAUACCCGCUGA